GGGGAAUUUUGGACAAUGGGGGCAACCCUGAUCCAGCCAUCCCGCGUGUGCGAUGAAGGCCUUCGGGUUGUAAAGCACUUUUGGCAGGGAAGAAACAGCCUGGGCUAAUAUCCCGGGCGACUGACGGUACCUGCAGAAUAAGCACCGGCUAACUACGUGCCAGCAGCCGCGGUAAUACGUAGGGUGCAAGCGUUAAUCGGAAUUACUGGGCGUAAAGCGUGCGCAGGCGGUUCGGAAAGAAAGGUGUGAAAUCCCAGGGCUUAACCUUGGAACUGCACUUUUAACUACCGGGCUAGAGUACGUCAGAGGGGGGUAGAAUUCCACGUGUAGCAGUGAAAUGCGUAGAGAUGUGGAGGAAUACCGAUGGCGAAGGCAGCCACCUGGGAUGAUACUGACGCUCAUGCACGAAA
rnacentral:rRNA from 1 species